rnacentral:rRNA from 1 species
GUCUUUUUGAAUUAAAUUUAAAGUCUAACCUGCCCACUGAAAUUUUUAAAUGGCCGCAGUAUUCUAACUGUGCAAAGGUAGCAUAAUCAUUAGUCUUUUAAUUGAAGGCUGGAAUGAAUGGUUGGACGAAAUAUUAACUGUUUCAUUUAAAUUUCUUUUAGAAUUUUAUUUUUUAGUCAAAAAGCUAAAAUAAAUUUAAAAGACGAGAAGACCCUAUAAAUCUUUAUAUUUUAUUUAUUUUAAUUAUAAAGAUUAUUUUUGUUAUAAUAAAUAAAAAUAUUUUAUUGGGGUGAUAUUAAAAUUUAAAAAACUUUUAAUUUUUAAAACCAUUAAUUUAUGAAUAAUUGAUCCAUUAAUAAUGAUUAAAAAUUUAAGUUACUUUAGGGAUAACAGCGUAAUUUUUUUGGAGAGUUCAUAUCGAUAAAAAAGAUUGCGACCUCGAUGUUGGAUUAAGAUAUAAUUUUGGGUGUAGCCGUUCAAAUUUUAAGUCUGUUCGACUUUUAAAUUCUU